CCUACGGGAGGCAGCAGUGAGGAAUAUUGGUCAAUGGGCGAGAGCCUGAACCAGCCAAGUCGCGUGAAGGAUGACGGCCCUACGGGUUGUAAACUUCUUUUGUCAGGGAGCAAUUGGGUCCACGCGUGGGCUUAGCGAGAGUACCUGAAGAAAAAGCAUCGGCUAACUCCGUGCCAGCAGCCGCGGUCAUACGGAGGAUGCGAGCGUUAUCCGGAUUUAGUGGGUUUAACGGGUGCGUAGGCGGAAGAUCAAGUCAGCGGUAAAAAUUCGGGUCUAAACCGCGUCGUGCCGUUGAAACUGAUGGUCUUGAGUGGUGGAGAGGUAUGCAGAAUGCGUGGUGUAGCGGUGAAAUGCAUAGAUAUCACGAAGAACUCCGAUGGCGAAGGCAGCAUACCGGCGCCCAACUGACGCUGAGGCACGAAAGCGUGGGUAUCGAACAGGAUUAGAUACCCCUGUAGUC
rnacentral:rRNA from 1 species